GUGGGGAUAGGUUGAGAUUA
rnacentral:tRNA from 1 species